AUUGAACGCUGGCGGCAGGCCUAACACAUGCAAGUCGAACGAGUGGCGGACGGGUGAGUAAUGUAUGGGAAACUGCCCGAUGGAGGGGGAUAACUACUGGAAACGGUAGCUAAUACCGCAUACCAUCGGAUGUGCCCAGAUGGGAUUAGCUAGUAGGUGGGGUAACGGCUCACCUAGGCGACGAUCCCUAGCUGGUCUGAGAGGAUGACCGGCCACACAGGAACAGAAGCAAGGUCCAGGCUCAUACGGAAGGAAGCCAUGGGGAAGAUGGUACAAUGGGAGCAAGCCUGAAGCAGCAAGGGCGGGUGUAUGGAGAAGACCUUCGGUUUGUAAAGUACUUUCAGCGGGGAGGCGUUACCCGCAGAAGAAGCGCCGGCUAACUACGUGCCAGCGGCCGCUGUGAUAG
rnacentral:rRNA from 1 species